AUUGAACGCUGGCGGCAUGCCUUACACAUGCAAGUCGAACGGCAGCACGGGAGCAAUCCUGGUGGCGAGUGGCGAACGGGUGAGUAAUAUAUCGGAACGUGCCCGGUCGUGGGGGAUAACGUAGCGAAAGCUACGCUAAUACCGCAUACGAUCUAUGGAUGAAAGCGGGGGAUCGCAAGACCUCGCGCGAUUGGAGCGGCCGAUAUCAGAUUAGGUAGUUGGUGAGGUAAAGGGCUCACCAAGCCGACGAUCUGUAGCUGGUCUGAGAGGACGACCAGCCACACUGGGACUGAGACACGGCCCAGACUCCUACGGGAGGCAGCAGUGGGGAAUUUUGGACAAUGGGCGCAAGCCUGAUCCAGCAAUGCCGCGUGCAGGAUGAAGGCCUUCGGGUUGUAAACUGCUUUUGUACGGAACGAAACGGUGAGCUCUAAUACAGUUUGCUAAUGACGGUACCGUAAGAAUAAGCACCGGCUAACUACGUG
rnacentral:rRNA from 1 species